rnacentral:lncRNA from 1 species
CCCUUGAGGAUUAGUUGAUGUAUAACAUGAUAAUGGCGUCUGUUCUAAUUGUAAUGCCAGUAUUUGUCCUUCGAACGUUUCAGUUGAACUGUCUAUGACACRAUCUUAUCCUGUGUUCUGUUCUUCCAGUUGAAAAAUGACCCCACUGUCAAACGUGUUGACCUGGAGGAAGGACAUGUCAUCAUCUACCUAGAUGGGCUCAAGCAGAAGGAAACGAAGACGUACAGCCUGGCCAUAGAGGAGGAUGUGCCUGUGAGGAAUCUGAAACCAGCUGUGGUGAAAGUGUAUGACUACUACCAGACAAGUAAGAAUUCCAUCUAACACAGUGAAAUGUGUAGGGUUGCCAAGAGCUUUAAAUAAAUGACGUGGUUUUCCCAAAAUCCCGACUGGAGGAUUCACAGAAAAGGGAGAAUAAGCAGGAUAUCCAUUAUCUUCCAAUCAGGAUUUAUGGAAUACCAGGGUAUUUAAGUUUCCUGUAAUUCUGCAACCUUAAGUGAUUUCAUUCGCAGAAAACAUUGUGCUCCCCAAGGGUUUUCAUAAACUCAUACUCUUUCUCAAAUGGAAAAAGAUUAACACUGAACUAGAUAUUAGACCGUGUGUCAAACCCAUUCCAGAGGGCCGAGUGGGAGUUUUUGCUCCGCCCUUGUAAAUGUUUGAAUUAAGGUGACCUAUUUGUUAUUUUACCAGGUAAGUUGACUGAACACAUUCUCAUUUGCAGCAAGGACCUGGGGAAUAGUUCCAGGGGAGAGGAGGGGGAUGAAAUUAGUAAGGAAGUCCCCUCACCUGGUUGUCUASGACUUAAUUGAGAGAAACUAAAUCCAGCAGACGAGGCCCUCCAUUAAAUGAGUGACACCCCUUGGAUUAGACCAUAAGUGUCAACUUGUUAGCUUUUACUAGAAAUGCAGCUUUGAAUGCAAAAAAAUGUCCUCACUGUCACUGCAUUUGUUUUCAGUAAACUUAACAUGUUCAUACAAAUAUUUAAACAACUAAGACAUGUUACUCCACCAAGGCACCUGCAAGUU